UUUAGUCCAAAAUAUCGACUCCAUGCAGCCGUUUCAAAAUUAUAUUUGUCAUAAACCGGAGGACAAUAUACAGUUGGAUAUAUACUUGCCGAAUAAGACCAUGCUGGGACGAAUUCCCUCAAUGUUAUGUACAUAACGAAAUGAAUAUUUGGUAUCUACCUAUCAAAGAAUUACUGUACUACUUAUCUCGUUACUCGAAAUCGAAAGAACAGGAAAUUAGGCCUCUACUCUACCAAGUCUACCACCCAAGGGCUUCACUUCAGAAUGUCCGUGUUGAGUCAGACACUUGGACGAUCGGUGGUUGGUUCAGACGACUCAAGCAAGGCUUCCCCUUGCUGUCGGUGUCCACCAGUAUCGUGUCGCCAGGCUUGUACUCGCCGAAAAGGAUCGCUUCGCUGAUGACAUCCUCCAUCAGUUGGGUGAUGGCUCUCCUCAGCGGCCGCGCGCCGUAGUUCUUGUCGUAGC
rnacentral:lncRNA from 1 species